rnacentral:rRNA from 1 species
GCGGUGGAGUAUGUGGUUUAAUUCGAUGCAACGCGAAGAACCUUACCUGGUCUUGACAUCCCGGAGACCCUUAGGAAACUAGGGGGUGCUUCCAUCUGGAAGAAUCUGGAGACAGGUGCUGCAUGGCUGUCGUCAGCUCGUGUCGUGAGAUGUUGGGUUAAGUCCCGCAACGAGCGCAACCCUUGCCUUUAGUUGCCAGCAGUUCGGCUGGGCACUCUAAAGGGGACUGCCGGUGUUAAACCGGAGGAAGGUGGGGAUGACGUCAAGUCCUCAUGGCCUUUAUGACCAGGGCUACACACGUACUACAAUGGCCGAUACAAAGGGCAGCGACACUGCGAGGUGAAGCCAAUCCCGUAAAAUCGGUCUCAGUCCGGAUUGGAGUCUGCAACUCGACUCCAUGAAGUUGGAAUCGCUAGUAAUCGCGCAUCAGCCAUGGCGCGGUGAAUACGUUCCCGGGCCUU